UGGAAGUAGGUGACUUUAGGAUUCCAAAGUUCAAUAUUUCAUUUGGACUUGAAACUUCCGAUAUGCUAAAGGAGCUAGGUGUGGUUUUACCUUUCUCUGGUGAAGGGCUGACAAAAAUGGUGGACUCUAAUCAAAAACUUUUUAUGUCCAAUAUAUUGCACAAAUAUUUCAUUGAAGUAAAUGAAGAAGGCACUGAAGCUGCUGCAAUAAGUGUUUUAUUUAUGCAGGCACAAUGUAUGCGUCGUCCAACUCGAAUGGAUUUUGUAGUUGAUCACCCAUUCUUAUAUCUAAUUAGAGAUGAUUUGGCCGGAACAAUCAUCUUUGUUGGACAGGUGCUUAAUCCUCUUGAUGGGUGAUCUUAGCAAGUCACAAUGGAUUGGAUUGCCAAUAAAUAAAUAGGGAACAUGUUUUAUGAUUGAAAUGUAUUAUUUAUGAUAAGAAUAGUAUUAAAUUGUGAUGUACAUGAUCCUUGUGUGAGUGACAUGUAGAGGAGUUUAUUUGAAUAUAUUUUAUAACCAAGUACUUUUCUAAAUAUUCGCAAGAGUAUAAGAAUAGUUUGUGAUAUUUUCAACUUAAUGUUAUCUAUCUGCAUACAUCCUACUUUACUUUGACAUUAUUAUGAUACCAAUAGAGUAUAUGCUAAGUCAUCAAAGUGGGUCAGCAAAUUAAUUAAUUCGAGAAAAUGGUGUUGUGUAAUAUGAUCCAAUAGUUGAGAAAAGGUUUAAAUAUGUAUUUCAUCUUUGCAAUUAGGGGUCGUUUAAAAAUUGGUCUCUGUAAUCGCUAAUCUUGGCAAUUUACCAUUGCAUUGUUUAAUCAUUUAAAAUUUUGUCCCUCUCCCCACUUAAUCACUGCCAUACAUGAAAUUCCAAUUUUACCCCUGAGUUUCCAAUUAUUUCUUCAAUAUUUUGUCCUCUUCUUAAGGGCAAAAUUGGAAUUUCAUGUGUGGUAGUGAUUGCCACGUCAUCGAAUUAGUGACGUGGCAGUGAUUAAGUUGGUCAAAGGACGAAAUUUUAAAUGAUUAAUGAUUGCAAGGCUAGUUUGCAAGGAUUAGCGAAUACAGUAUCAAUUUUUAAACGACCCCUAAUUGUAAGGAUGAAAUACAUAUUUAAAUUUUGAGAGAAUAAUACAGUAAACAAAAAAUAUGCCAAAAGAAGGAUCAAUUAAGAGAGGGGCAUAAAAAUGAUGAUUGGAAUUGGUUCUACUCUCUCCCUAUAUUUCUUUCCUCUAUCUGGCCUUUUUCUCUAUCACUUCAAUGCAUUUUCUCUAAAUGGCUUAGUGCCAAGUUUUCCGUCUGCCAUCUAUUUUUCCUUAAUUGUAAUCACAUCUCCCAGGUGUACUACGUUACUGUAUUUGAUUGUUGGAGAGUAAAAUUGAUAACCGAUUAUAGUAUUUUUCCAUGCGAAAUUUUGUUAUAGAAGCGACUAAACACCGUUACAUCCACAAAAAAAUAUCAUCAAUGACAAUAGAUAAAGAAAUCGGAUAUUUUUCAAUUGAUAUGGAUGAAAAUCACAUUUUUAGUACAAAUUUUAAACAUUUACGUAUUAUUAUCUCCUUUAGGCUCUUUCUCUAGUUUAGAGCUUCAAAUCUAUUUCUAAUUUAAGAGUUAUUUAAAUUAUAAUACAUUAUUUAAGAGUUUUGCAAUGUUGUGAAUAAUCACGUUGUGACAACGGCAAUACGUAAAUUAUUAUAACGCAACAUAUGUAACAACCAAAAACACGAAAUCCUACAUACGACCUUGACCGGGAAUGUUGUUUAAUACCUUGUUCCUAGUUGUAAUGUGUUAUUACUUGGCUAUUUGAGAAUAAUAUUUUAAACCUUUGUCCAAUUGUUCUUAUCUUAAUUACCAUCAUUACAUAACUCCACUCAUUCCGAAGACUACAUCUCGUGCCCAUUCAGUGAUACAUCUCGUGUGUUCAUACAAGAAUCAGAGUUAGCAUAUUGAUUUCAUGAACAUCUACAAUAUUUUUUUUCGUAAAAUUCAUGCAAUAUAAGAGUGACCAUUCAAGCCAAUCAAACUAGUUUAAAUCAAAAUCAUACGCUUGCUGACACAUGAUUGUCCUCUUUAUUUUUUUUUUCUUCAAAUGUUUUGUACUCUUAUCUCUAUGAUUAGAACAAUCUGCAGUGCACUUAAUACACAUAUUUCACAUCCAUGACUUCUAAAGAAAUCACGAAAAGAUGCAUCUGAGAAACAUCUUCCAAAGUUAGGCACUAGAUUGAAAUAUUUAUGUUCUUAAGAAUCAAACUUGAUUAGAGUGUCUUUCAAAUUUAGAGACCAUUUUAGUUGCCAACUUGUAAUUGAAUAGUUUUAAUUUGUUUUAAGGGUCUUGUUGUGUCUCCAGGGUAUUGGUUAAAAAACUAAAAGUAAAAAGAUAAGUCAAAUUUUACAUUAAAAAGAACACUUUUUUUACUUUCAAAAAAGUAGAAUACAUAAUUUUCAAGAGAAUAUUUUAAUCCUUGUUUCAAUCCUCUAAUUUUUUGGAAUUUUUUAUAACUUUUUUUCAUUUUCGAAAACUAAAAUCUGAGUUAUUAAAAUAAUUCAUUUUUUUUAUGGAAUACAUAAAGUUUAUACAACAAAAAGUAUGUCUGCAACAUCUUAAAUUUGUUCUAGAGAUUUUUAAAAACAAAAGCAAAAUGAAUUCGCUACAGAAAGCUUAUAAUUUUUGAAAAAUAAAAAUUUGACUUUCUAGACCAAAAAUUAUUUUUAUUUUUAUAAAUAUUUUGGACAACUCGCAUCUUAGACUAAACUAUACUAGAGAUCCUUUAAGUUAUUUAAUUGUAACAAAUUAGUCUUUUAAUUGGAACAAGUAUGAAGGAAAGUAACAAUAUUUCUUUCUUUUUUGAGUUGUUCUGCCUUUUCGGCCAGCUCAAAACCUUUGGUUUCUACCCAAACCUAAUGAAAAAAAAUGAUGGCAUCAUUUCUUAUAGGUUUCUUGAGAAUGAUUAUGAUCUUGUUCAUGACCUAUUAGAAAUAGAAAGUGGUCUACUAGGAACCUCAAAAACAAAUCGAUUGACAUUGCUAAAGAAUCCCUUAAAUGUGAUUCAAAAUGGAUCUUGUUCUAUCAUAUACGAGAUUGGAAAUGCAUAUUUCUAGUUGGAAAAAAGUAAAAAAUUGGUUUUCGGGCGAUAAUGUUAGUUUCCUUCGAAACUUGCCUAAAAAAUCAGAAAACAAUAUCAAGAAAUAAGACUUCCAUAGAACGGACUUCUUACGACCCCUCAUAUUUUCAGAAAAAUAAAAAAAUUGCAUGAACUUUAUUCAAUUUUCAGAAUUUUUUAGUGAUAUUUUUAUAUAUUUUUGAUAUUAUUUGAUAGGUUUGUCAAUUUUCACUUUGUUUUAUUUAUUUAUUUUAUCAUUUUUUAAGGCAAAAUCCGCUAUUACAUAAAUGGAAGGAUAUUUUCAUCUUUUCUCAUUUAUAGUUAUGUUUUAAGUUCUUAUAAAAAAAAAGUUAUGUUUUAAGUUAUAUAAUCAAAUUCGUGUUUUUUGUGUGGAAAAAUGAGAAUUUCAAAAGGCACGUGAAGAAUGAAUAGGGUGUGAAAAGAAAAUCUUAUAAGAGAUUUCUUAACUAGGCCAUUAGUGAGAACAAUUAUUUAGGCCCAAAUGGGAAACUAGAGUCUAUAACAUAUGGGCUUUCAUUCAUUAUUGACAAGCUUGAAUGUUUCUCAUCAACAUCCAAUAUCUCUAAAACCACUUAAAUACAGAUAUGAUAAUUAUCUGCUUUUUUCGAAAAAUAUAGAUUUGAUGGAUAAUUAUCAGAUAUAUAUUUAUGGGGUCUUAGAUAGAUAUAUUGGAGAUCCUAACAAGAAAUACAUAUCCGAUAAUAAUAAUUUUUUUUAUUUUGAAAAAUAUACAUUCGGUAUGGAUUUUGCAGGUGGUUUUGAAAGCCUAGAAAAUGAGCAGAAUCUAAUUCCAAACUUAAUCCGUAAGUAAAGCACAUUUAGCGGAAGUAACAAAGUAGUAGCAGGUCAACACGCCUAUACUAUACCGACAUGGUUGCGACACAUACACUACGGCAUAGCACUAUUUAAUAACCAACUUCAACUUCAAACUAGAUAGAUAGAUAUCACUCAAAACUCAGAAAUAUUUUUCGAAACAAACAAAAAACAAUGGAUCUUCGUGAAUCAAUAGCCAACCAAACCAACGUAUCACUCAGCGUUGCAAAACAUCUCUUCUCCAAAGAAUCAGACAACAACAUCGUGUUUUCUCCACUUUCACUCCAAGUUGUGCUAAGUAUAAUCGCUUCUGGUUCUGAGGGUCCCACUCAACAACAACUUUUCAACUUCCUUCAAUCCAAAUCCACCGAUCAUCUCAACUACUUCGCUUCACAGCUCGUUUCCGUCAUCCUCUCCGACGCUUCUCCCGCCGGUGGUCCUCUCCUCUCUUUCGUCGACGGUGUUUGGGUUGAUCAAACCCUUUCUCUUCAACCUUCCUUCCAACAAAUCGUGUCCACUCAUUUUAAAGCAGCUUUGUCUUCCGUUGAUUUCCAGAACAAGGUAUGUUUCUAUCAAAUCACAUCUAAAUAUGUUUAUUUUCUUUUUUCAAUUAAGAUAACAUGUGUAGAUUUGAGCCAAACAAUUGUUUUUUGUAUAUGCUGCUAUAAGUUGGUUUUAUAAGCUAUAUAUUGGAGAACUUAUGAAAAUAAGUUGAAAAAAGCUUAUGAAAACUGUCAUAAGCUGCUCUCACAAAACUUACGUUAGUAGAUAUGCUCAAAUAAGUCAAUCCAAACACGUAAGCUAAAAAGAACCUGAAUUAGCUUAUAGAAAAACACUACGAGCUAUAAGCCCAUGAGAAGAUGACAGUUACCAAAUGAGUCCCUUUCAUUCAUAUAAGCUCAUAAGCUAUCAUCUAUAAGCUGGCUUACUCUGCUUGACGAACAGACCAUUAGAAUGUUUUUCCAUCUUAAUGAAAACUGUGGUAUAUAUUUGGAGCUAUCAAUUGCUUUGAAUUCUAAUAGUACAACUUCAUGACUCUAAAUUGAUCAAAAGCAAUUUCAUCAAUGUGGCAAAUCUUUAUGUAUACAAAUAAAUCAGCCUAUACCUGUUUGUCUUUCCUUCGUAAAUGUGCAUCAAACAAAAAGGAGUGUAAACAAUAUGUCAAGCAAGUUCUGCAAUUCCCUGCUACAAUGGCUCUUCAGAGAUUGAAUAGAAAGCCACGUCAAUUUUUGUAGUAUUAAAGAGGGAGCAACUUACAUGAUCCUUUAGCAUACGACUAUCUGACUAAAAUGAUUUAUUUUAGAACAGCUAUUAUAUCAAAUUCUAUGAAAACAUUUGAUCAAAGCAACUUUACUGAGUUUACUCCUUUGUCGUUUUCUAGCAUCCAACUAAUUUAGCAUGUAAUGCAUGAAAAAUACACCAUCAAAAUGUUAAAUUCUUCUAUUGCAAUACUUGUGAAAAGUACUCAACUUAUUUAUAUGCAUAAUUGAUUUUUAAAUUUGAUAUGGUUUUAAAGGCUGUUGAAGUGACCAAUGAAGUGAAUUCAUGGGCUGAAAAAGAGACAAAUGGCCUUAUUAAAGAACUUCUUCCUCUUGGGUCGGUCAACAAUGCAACCCGGCUCAUCUUUGCCAAUGCACUAUACUUCAAAGGAGCGUGGAAUGAUAAGUUUGAUGCUUCAAAAACGGAAGACUACGAGUUUCACCUUUUGAAUGGUAGCCCAGUCAAGGUUCCCUUCAUGACCAGCAAGAAGAAGCAGUUUAUUAGAGCUUUUGAUGGUUUUAAAGUUCUCGGUCUUCCUUAUAAGCAAGGCGAAGAUAAGCGUCAAUUCACCAUGUACUUUUUUCUUCCAAAUGCAAAAGAUGGGUUGGCAGCUUUGGUCGAAAAGGUGGCUUCUGAAUCUGAGCUACUGCAACACAAGCUUCCAUUUGGUAAAGUGGAAGUAGGUGACUUUAGGAUUCCAAAGUUCAAUAUUUCAUUUGGACUUGAAACUUCUGAUAUGCUAAAGGAGCUAGGUGUGGUUUUACCUUUCUCUGGUGGAGGUCUGACAAAGAUGGUGAACUCUUCAGUUAGUCAAAACCUUUGUGUUUCCAAUAUAUUUCACAAGUCUUUCAUUGAAGUAAAUGAAGAAGGCACUGAAGCUGCUGCGGCAACUGCUGCAACUAUAUUGUUAAGGAGCGCCAUGAGUAUUCCACCUCGGCUAGACUUUGUAGCUGACCACCCUUUCUUAUUUAUGAUUAGAGAAGACUUGACCGGAACAAUCAUCUUUGUUGGACAGGUGCUCAAUCCUCUUGCUGGGUGAUUUGAGGGAACUACACUAUAUUGGUUCACCCAUAGAUAAAUAGGGAACUUAUUUUCUAAUAGAUUAAAUGUGUUUAUGAUGAAGAUAGUACUAUAUUUGGACAUGAUCCACGUGUGAGUUACAUUACAUGUAUUAAGGGAAGAGUCUAGAUGAGUUUAUUUGAUAGUAAUUUUGUUUAUGUUUGUAAGACUAUAAGAAUAAGUAUGAUAUUUUAUAACAUAUAAUUACUUCUGUUAUUGUAAGCGUAUGUAAAUAGGUUAUGACAUUUUCAGCUUAUUUUUCCUGAUACCAUAAUGUUAAUGAAAUGGUAAUGUGAAGAGAGGAUUAACCUACGUUUCGUUAUAAAAAGUUUCUUUUUGAAGAUUUCAUAUUGUAUACGCUACAAUAUUUUUGACAGAUUUCAAUUUUGUCAACAACUCAUGAUGCCUUACACUUGCUAAGUUUUUUUUUUUUUUGGAGGGAAUACCAUCUGAAAAGAUAAUAUGAAGGAUAGAGAUUCAAUAGGAUAAUAGUGGUAACAUGAAAACUGGUUGAGGACACUAUACUUCUAUCGCACCCACUACUACUACAUUUACAUUUUUUCUUUUAGUAGUGUGUGUUAAGUUACAUAUAUAAAAAAAAUAAUUGCUAAAGAAGCAUUACCAAGGCAUUUAUAAAAAAUGUUACGCUCUAUUUAUUUAUCUUCAUUCAACGCUCUUGACUAAGUUUUUGUUGCACAAUUUUUCAUUGCUAUCACAUUUGGAGUGAGAACCUUCAUGUCUUCAAUAUUUGUUAAGUUUUGGUGAAAUAUUUUCAGGAUCUAGAUUUUGUUUAUAUUUAUACAAUGACAUUCAUGAAACUUUUAAGAUCAUGUUACUUCAAUGCCCGUGCCUUUCAAAUGAUUAUAAUUCUGACCAAAUGAUUGAAAUUUGUUGUUACUUCAUUACUGGAAUGAGUCAAUCUUUGAGGGCGUGGAGCAAAACAUUUCAUAUAGAAUGUUUAGAAGACAUGAAAGACAUCAUGUUGUAAUGAAUAAGGUUGGUUUUCGGCAGUUGUAUGUGAUUAGUGUUUCGGAAUGUACUGUUAUCCUUAUUUUAAGCUACAUAUUUAGAUUGUUUUUCAAUCACAAUUGCAUGAAACAAUGGUAUAUUUUGAAUUUAAACAGGUUUUGUUCCAGGAAUGGCAAGGAAAUCCCCUGAUUAUCCAUAUCUUCAAACCCAGUCUCGUAUCAUUUUUGAGACAAUGCACAAUCUUGCAGCAAUAUAUUUUCUCCAUCUAUAAAGGUUGCCUAAGAGGACCUUAGCAAUCAUCCUUCCUUGUUUUUUUUUUUUAAUUUACAGGAACAUGUUGAGCAUUAUUCCUCAAGAAAAUUCCAAAGCCAAGUACAGUGGAAAAAGCUGUACAUCUUUAAGAAAGAGCCUUAUUUUGUUCAGUCCAAAUAACUAAUAUCUAUCUAAUGUAAACCAAACUCAAAUUCAAACUUAUACCUGAAAGGUUUGAUCUCAUUUCUUUUAUUGCGUAUUUUCAACAAAGGUAAGUUUAUGUUUUCUUCUCCUUAUGAAGCUGUACCGUAUAUUUAUGUGAAAUGCACCGUGCAAGUUAUGUUGGUUUUUUGGAUGAAAUUCGGUUGAUAGUUUUCCUCACUUUAGAUUUUGAAGAUAAAGCCAAAUAAGAAAGAUAUAGAUUUUGUGCUGCUGCUGAUUUCAAGCUCAUAGACUAUGGUCGUCACCAGAGAUUAGAUGAAGAUGAGAGUUUGUAAUGAUCUUUUUGAAUCAUAACAGAGUUUCAAAUACGGAAGAUCUUAGUCCCUUGUUACGGUUUUUUCUAAUUUUUGAAAUGAGUCAAGUGCGCAAUUUAGUAUUGUUAGGUAUUCUUUUACCCUUGAAGAGAUUUACUGAUUGUGGAUUGGUGCUUUCCUAUAGUCCAUGAGCCGUAGAGUUAUGUUUUGCAUGCAUGCUGAAGUGCUAUAUGACAGGUCCAGAGCUUUUUGGAUUUAAUAGCUAGUUUUAUAAUUCUAUAUAAAUUUUAAUGGAUUUAAAAUUUAGAUCACAGUGCGAGCGAAAAUGAAUGCCUUUGAUUCUAAUAGAUUUGUGAGCGAAAAUUAAUGUCUUUAGUUCUAAUAGAUUUUUUUUGCAUACAUGUUUUGGAUUCUAGAUUUGCUCCACCACUUGUUUACGCCGUUCUUCGAGUCUCAAGGGAUCUUAUAGUGGGAGCCAUGCUCUUAGGAAGCGUCUCCCACAACACAACCUGAUCUCUUUACUCAGCCUGUUUUUACUUCAAAAUUCUCUGCUGAUCUCUUUCAAGCAGCUCUUGGAAUUCUAAGGUAAUCACUACCACUACAUUUUGUUUUACUUUUCAUUAAUUUUGAAAGUGAAAAAUAAAAAGUCUCAUAUUAAAUGAUUACGUUGCAUUCUAGGAUUUAAGGCAAUCCUUCAACAGAUUAAGAGCCUGCUUGGAAUCACACAUUUCACUUAAGAGAUGACCCUCAUUCCUGUCAUCUGUUCUGUUUUUCACAACACCGACGAGGCUUGCAAUUUCAUCCUAUAACAAUAGUCUUGAACUGUGGAAUUUGUGCUUCAAACUUUGCUUCGUAAUCUAGUAAUAACUGUCUGCUAGUAAUAUUUCACAAUUCACGUGGUCAUUUUCUGCAAUGCCACCACUGAUUUUACAUUCAUUUCUCAAAAAACUUUAGUCCCAAAGAGGGACAAUUGAAAUAGUUUCUCAUUAAAGUGAAACAUAACUAUGCCACAUAUCACUUCCACGUUUAUUCUCAAUAUUUUUAUUAUUUAAAACCAAUAUUUUAAUUGACAUAAAUAUUUCAACAAACUUUUGAUCUUAUCUAUUAAAUAUUUUAUUUAAUUUUUUAUUGAAUUCAUAAUAUUUUAUGUAGCAGAAAUAUCUCAACAAGCCACAUACAAUACUUUCAAUCAUAUCCAUUAGUCAUCGCGAGCUUAGCUUAGUUGGUAUGGACAAUGCAUAAUAUAUGCAAAGUCCGGAGUUCGAACCCCAGCCACCACCAAAAAAGAAAAUCCUAUCCGUUAAAUAUUUCACUUUAUUUUUUAAAUAAUCUUUUGUUUAAUUAAUUAAUCCCUAUUUCAAUUUUAGCAUUAUUUGUUUCAAUAAAUGUAAUUUUUUAUAAAUUAUUGAAUUUUCAAAUAUUUCUUUGAAUUUUCGUCUUACUCCAAUUGGAGUAUAAUUUAGUUGAUUUUUUUUAAUUUAAUACAUACUACAAUUGAUUUUAAAAAAUUAUACUCCAUCCGUCCCUCAAUAGAUGACCUAGUUGACUCUGACACACGUACCAAUGCAUAUGUUUUAUCUUUGAUAUCUUCAAUUCUCUACUAAAAAAAUUAUAAAAUUUUAAUAUUUUAAAAAUAUUCAUCGAGACGAAUCCAACAAAAUCUUACAUAAUAUUAUUUAUCUUUGUGAAUUAGUAGAAAAGUAUGGUCAGUAUGUCAAAUCAAUAAUGUAUAUUGUCAACUAGAUCAUCUAUUAAGGGACAGAGGGAGUACCAAAUUUAUAACAUAAGUUGAUUGUUUAAACUUAAAUUUGUUCAACUAGUAUAUAAUUCCAAACUUAAUCUGUAAGCAUUUGAGAGAAAAUGGUCAAAGUAAGCCAACAUCGACACGAUUAUACACACGCUACAUAAGUUGAUGCUUACAAAACAAAAGACUAUGAUUUUCACCUUCUCAAUGGCAGCUCAGUCAAGGUUCCCUUUAUGACUAGCAAGAAGAAGCAGUUUAUUAGAGCUUUUGAUGGUUUUAAAGUUCUUGGUCUUCCUUAUAAGCAAGGCGAAGAUAAGCGUCGUUUCACUAUGUACUUUUUUCUUCCAAAUGCAAAAGAUGGGCUUCCAAGUUUGGUUGAAAAGGUGGCUUCUGAAUUUGAUUUACUACAACACAAGCUUCCUUUUGAUAAAGUGGAAGUAGGUGACUUUAGGAUUCCAAAGUUCAAUAUUUCAUUUGGACUUGAAACUUCUGUUAUGCUAAAGGAGCUAGGUGUGGUUUUACCUUUCUCUGGUGGAGGUCUGACAAAG
rnacentral:lncRNA from 1 species